CUUUCCCCUUCGGGGGACAAAGUGACAGGUGGUGCAUGGUUGUCGUCAGCUCGUGUCGUGAGAUGUUGGGUUAAGUCCCGCAACGAGCGCAACCCUUAAGCUUAGUUGCCAUCAUUAAGUUGGGCACUCUAAGUUGACUGCCGGUGACAAACCGGAGGAAGGUGGGGAUGACGUCAAAUCAUCAUGCCCCUUAUGAUUUGGGCUACACACGUGCUACAAUGGACAAUACAAAGGGCAGCGAAACCGUGAGGUCAAGCAAAUCCCAUAAAGUUGUUCUCAGUUCGGAUUGUAGUCUGCAACUCGACUACAUGAAGCUGGAAUCGCUAGUAAUCGUAGAUCAGCAUGCUACGGUGAAUACGUUCCCGGGUCUUGUACACACCGCCCGUCACACCACGAGAGUUUGUAACACCCGAAGCCGGUGGAGUAACCUUUUAGGAGCUAGCCGUCGAAGGUGGGACAAAUGAUUGGGGUGAAGUCGUAACAAGGUAGCCGUAUCGGAAGGUGCGGCUGGAUCACCUCCUUUCUAAGGA
rnacentral:rRNA from 2 species